rnacentral:sRNA from 1 species
GCUGGGCAUGGUGGCACAAGCCUGUAAUCCCAGCAACUUGGGAGGCUGAGGCAGGAGGAUUUCAAAUUCAAGGCCAGCCAUAGCAAUUUAGCAAGACCCUGUCUCAA